UACAGAGGGGGCAAGCGUUGUUCGGAAUUACUGGGCGUAAAGGGCGCGUAGGCGGCCUGUUAAGUCAAACGUGAAAUCCCCGGGCUCAACCCGGGAACUGCGUCCGAAACUGGCAGGCUCGAAUUCGGGAGAGGGAUGCGGAAUUCCAGGUGUAGCGGUGAAAUGCGUAGAUAUCUGGAGGAACAUCGGUGGCGAAGGCGGCAUCCUGGACCGAUAUUGACGCUGAGGCGCGAAAGCCAGGGGAGCAAACGGG
rnacentral:rRNA from 1 species